rnacentral:rRNA from 1 species
CUGCCCUUGAAGUAGGGGAUAACACUUGGAAACAGGUGCUAAUACCGUAUAACAACCAAAACCACCUGGUUUUGGUUUAAAAGAUGGCUUCGGCUAUCGCUUUAGGAUGGACCCGCGGCGUAUUAGCUUGUUGGUAAGGUAACGGCCUACCAAGGCAAUGAUACGUAGCCGACCUGAGAGGGUAAUCGGUCACAUUGGGACUGAGACACGGCCCAAACUCCUACGGGAGGCAGCAGUAGGGAAUCUUCCACAAUGGACGAAAGUCUGAUGGAGCAACGCCGCGUGAGUGAUGAAGGGUUUCGGCUCGUAAAACUCUGUUGUUGGAGAAGAACAGGUGUGAGAGUAACUGUUCACAUCUUGACGGUAUCCAACCAGAAAGCCACGGCUAACUACGUGCCAGCAGCCGCGGUAAUACGUAGGUGGCAAGCGUUGUCCGGAUUUAUUGGGCGUAAAGCGAGCGCAGGCGGUUUCUUAGGUCUGAUGUGAAAGCCUUCGGCUUAACCGGAGAAGUGCAUCGGAAACCAGGAGACUUGAGUGCAGAAGAGGA